rnacentral:rRNA from 1 species
GAUGAACGCUGGCGGCGUGCCUAAUACAUGCAAGUCGAGCGAACAGACGAGGAGCUUGCUCCUCUGACGUUAGCGGCGGACGGGUGAGUAACACGUGGCUAACCUACCUAUAAGACUGAGAUAACUUCGGGAAACCGGAGCUAAUAUCGGAUAAGAUAUUGAACCGCAUGGUUCAAUAGUGAAAGACGGUUUUGCUGUCACUUAUAGAUGGAUCCGCGCCGCAUUAGCUAGUUGGUAAGGUAACGGCUUACCAAGGCAACGAUGCGUAGCCGACCUGAGAGGGUGAUCGGCCACACUGGAACUGAGACACGGUCCAGACUCCUACGGGAGGCAGCAGUAGGGAAUCUUCCGCAAUGGGCGAAAGCCUGACGGAGCAACGCCGCGUGAGUGAUGAAGGUCUUCGGAUCGUAAAACUCUGUUAGUAGGGAAGAACAAAUGUGUAAGUAACUAUGCACGUCUUGACGGUACCUACACAGAAAGCCACGGCUAACUACGUG